ensembl:lncRNA
GCCCAGAGCUCGCCAUUGGGCCUCGCUCCCGGGGUCCCGCGCGCCGGCCGUGCUGAUUGGCCGCUGGGGCUUCAUUCACGGCCCCCCUGCCGUCCGCGUACACACUCACGCCCCGGGGGCGCGGCCGCCACGUGGGGAGUGGCGCGGGGGUGGCACUGGGACCGCACCCCCUCUCGUCCUGGCUGCGUGGGCCCAGCUUUCCCCCCUCGCUGGAGACUCCGAGCCCGGCGGGUCCCACACUCCACGCGAGCUGAAUUCCCGCCCGUCUUUGGCAGGGGCGGCCGGAGGCGGCGGCGAGGAUGGCGGGCUCCGGGAGGCGCUCGGGCUCCGAGAAGCCGCUCAGCCCCGCGCUCCUCCCUCCGCAGUGCCGCUGCAGGCGGGCCGGGAUUCCGCGGGUCUCGGGAGGCUGCGAGCGAGCGGCGGCGCGGGUCCCCAGCUCGGUUCCAGAGCGGCUGCUCGCCUGGGCCGCCUCGCCUCCCGCAGCUUCCAGCGGGCACGGAGCUCUCCUCCGCGCGCCUCUCCGGCCCGUCUCGUUUUCCCCCUCCUUCCGCUAGACCCAGUGCCGCAACUCCGCCGACCUCCGCGGCCCUGAGAGCGCGUCGGCCGCGGGCAGAGUCAGACCCGCUUCACGCCUCGCGCAGGCUCCCCUUCUCCCGGGCACCGCGGCGCAGGGGUUCCCAGGAAGAAGAAGGGGACUCAGAAUCCUGACCUUUCCAUCUGUAGGACAGCAUGAGAUGUGGAGAUGCUGAACCCGGACACCUGGCAUCGUUAUGAUUCUGGGCAGGUCCCUUGUCCUCUCUAGGCCUGUUUAUUUCUCCACAAAGGGAAGCAGUGGGCCUCAGUGAUCACCAGGAUCCCUUCACACUGAUUUUCCCACUGCCUCUCCACAGCAUCUCCUCAUCCUUCUACCCCGAGACUCUGGCCAUGGUGCUGAAGGCGGCCAUGGCCUCUCCAGGGGCUUGGAGGCGUGGAGGUCAGCAACGUACACAUCUCAGGAUUUGUGAGGCAGAGGAAAACUACCUUGAAUGAGCACCUACUAUGUACCAGUCUCUCUGCUGUUCACUUUACAUACAUUGUCAUGUUGACUGAUCACACUGUCCCUUGGAGGAAGAGAUUAUCAUGGGGAAACUGAGUUUCAGGAACUGUGGGUCCCACAUUUUCCAGGAAGCAGAAAGCUGCUCUCCUGACUUAGGAUUUCAAGUAGCCCUGGUUCCCAGAGAUGGUCCUGAGACAAUUAAGGGUGGCUGAGAAAACAGUGACAUGCAGAAAUGGUUGAUAAAACUGUGAAGGAGCGUCUGUUGGCAUUGGUUCUGAGCCUGCGGCCAGAGAUGAAUGAUUGAAACACCAGGCUUGUUACAGCGAGAGCACGUUUGAUUUCUCUCCCCUGCACUGCAUGCGAUUUCGCUGGAGGGAAGUUAGCAAUCAGCUAAUUGACAUUGAAUUAACCAUGAAACUCAGCCCGCGCCUUCUCUCUGAAGCACUCUCCAGCAAGACUUUAUCAAGGCUUUGAAUUAUUGAUUAUUACUUAUAGCUCUGAUGGGGUGAUUUCCUUUUAUUUGUUUUCACGUUGGGUGUCCUUCAUAAGUGUCCCCAAGAGUGGGAGGCACCCAGACGGCAGAGCUUCUUGCCAGAGGAGCCGAGGGAGAAGGCUGAGUCCAGGGAGGACGGGUCUGGGUAGUCCAUCAGGCCCCAGAGAAAUAAACCUGUAUUUGUUAAGCUGUGGAGCUUCUGUUUUUCGUUUUUGCUGCUGUAACUGUAGCAAAACCUGGCCUAACCUGACUAACAGGGGCUCUGAGGGUCCAGAUCCUCUGCAAUGUCUCAUGAUACCAAGCUUACAGUCUGAUGAGCUGUGAUCCCUACUCCUGCUGUCUCAGCUCUGUCUGUGAGGACUGUCGCUGGACGUCUAUUUCAACUCCAUCAGAUACCUAAAUUCUUCCACGACAUCCAAACCAAAUGGCUUUCUGGACUCUGUGUGCAUAUUCUUGGGCCAAGGAAUUCACUCUCUCCUGAGGCUGUCUUUUCAAAAGUGCUCAGCUCUGACUGUCCCCCUUGGAAUUGUCCAUGUAACUUCCACUGGUCUCGGCUCUGCCCCAUGGAGCCCCACAGAGUAGUUUCAUUCUUUUAGUCCGUGACAGCCCUUUAAGAAUCUGAAAUUAGAUAUCUGGGACCUCUCCUCUUCCAGGACAAACAUCUUUUCAACUCUUCCUCACAUGGCUAGAUUUCAAGUCCCUUUUUCAACUUGGUCCCCUCUUUUGUUGGGAAUCCGAAGUGUCUGGGAGUCUCUGAAAAUGCAACACCCAGAGCUAGAGGGCUCCAGAGAUGGCUUGAGAGUGGUGUCGCUGAAAAGAACCAUCAGCUUCUUCAGGUUGGAUAUUAGACCUUUAGUGAUGCAGCUUCAUUCUGUAGCAGAGACGUUUUCUUCUUAUUGAAUUCAUGUGCUCCCAUAUUUCCCAGCUUCCUUGUGACUCUGUGGGGCCAUGUGACCAGACUGACCAGUGGUCUGUGAGCUGAAAUUAUAUGUGACACUCUGGAAUGAAACAUUGAAGAACCAGUGAGUGACAUUCCAGCUCUUUGCCCUUGCCAUGGUGACCUGGAAGCCAUGUUCUAGGUGGUAUUGAUAUAAGAUGCAAGUAGCCUGGGUCUCUGAGUCACCACUGGAAAGGGAGCUGACGUGAAGGGUUGCUGGACCCACAGUGGACUUCGUAUGAACAGAAAUAAGCCUUCAUGUGUUAAGGUGCUGACAUUUUUGCUGCAGUGGUUGCUGUUACUGUAGCACAGGCUUGCUGUCCUGACUCGCAGGCCCAUCGUGCUGCUCCCUCCCCUUGGGCGGCAAGUCUGUCUCAUCACCUAGGUAACACCUCCUGUGAAGCACAUCCCUCCUCAACUGGACCUUGAAGUGAUUCUUAUUUAUCGACUUUGAGCUCCUUAAAGUUAGUGAGCACAUUUUAUUCUUUGUGUCUUCCCCAGGGCCUAGUCCGGCCACACAGAGGGCAUUAAUCUUUGCAGAAGGAAGGGAGUAAGAAAAGGGACUGCUGGGUCCCUCAAGAUGGAGGCAGAAAAUGGCCUCUUUGGAAUGAGGCAAAGUGGACUCAAGUGUCCAGCUCCCUCCCUGACCAGCUGUGUACCCCGUGGCUAGUUACUUCUCUAUGAUUUCUAUCAAAUAGAGAUAGUAGUCCCAG